rnacentral:rRNA from 2 species
CUGCGGAAGGAUCAUUAACGAG